rnacentral:tRNA from 1 species
GGACUCAUAGCUCAGUGGGCUAGAGCGUUAGCUGUAUUAAAGCCUUCCCCUUGAUGGCGUGGGUUCGAAUUCCACCGAGGUCG